UGAUGUACUUACGACCCACCAUGAUGGAUUCAGCGCAAGGGGUGUUGCGCCUAGCCGCGAGUCUCUUCUUGCGCUGAGCUAGCAUGUUCUGCUUCUCCUUAGGUGAUUUGUUUUGCAGACGUGUUCUUCGGCAGGUGUUUGUCUCUUGGUUGUCAUGGACUGACAUAUUUUGGUAGGCCGCCCUUCUAAGGGUGUUACUCUGUUGCUUCUCCUCUGGUGUCAUUCGUUGCCUGGCUUCUCUUUGACGGGCAGUCCUCUCCUCCUCUGUUUUUUUCCUAGCUUCUCUGCGACGUGCAUUGAUUUCCUCCUUCUGUUCAGGUGUUAAUCUAUUUCUCCGUGCCAUAUAUUGGUCUCGCCUUUUCUGUUUUCUAUCUGGUUUAAUGAUAUCAUUUGAAGCAAUGUGCUCGGGGACAGUGUCUUCAGUGUCGAGUCCAAGUGCUAUGUCUGAACCAAUAUUAUGAUCAAUGCUUCUCUCUGUUCCUCGAAGUGAUGCAUGGUGAUCAUAUUUAUAAAGUGCAAGAUUUUGUAGAAGUUCAAUUUUUUAAAAGAGGGCUCAGACAUGGCGACAAGAAUGAAGGUGGAGGGGAAGGAGUGGAGAGAAAGAUGUCUGUCUCCACGUGGUGCGAAAAAGACUAUACAGGAUUCUGUAUUAUGUCGCGUUAAAACAAUCUGGAAUAUAAAGGAUUCUGGAGGUGAGCUUAAAUGAAAGUAUUUCCUUCUAUCACUA